rnacentral:rRNA from 1 species
CGCGUGGGAACCUGCCCUAGAGUGCGGAACAACAGUUGGAAACGACUGCUAAUACCGCAUAAUCCCUACGGGGAAGGACUUCGCCGCUCUUGGAUGGUCCCGCCGUUAGAUUAGCUAGUUGGUAGGGUAAUGGCUUACCAAGGCGACGAUCUAUAGCUGGUUUGAGAGGAUGAUCAGCCACACUGGGACUGAGACACGGCCCAGACUCCUACGGGAGGCAGCAGUGGGGAAUAUUGGACAAUGGGGGAAACCCGUAUGAUCCAGCAAUGCCGCGUGAGUGAAGAAGGCCCUAGGGUUGUA